rnacentral:lncRNA from 1 species
GUAAAUAACAGCUUCUGAUUGGCUGUUGGCGCGGCGACCGCGCCCUGUUUGUGAUUGGCUGCGCGCCCGAGCUCUUCCCGGCCUCUGACUGGUUGAUUCGCGCUGAGUGGAGGCCACGCCCCCUGGCAACGGCGCCAUAGCAACGGCGGGGGGAGUCACGUGACCGCGGUCCGCGCGCGCGAGGGGAAAUUUGGGGGGUCCGGGGGGGAAAUUGGGGGGGGGGGCGGAGAUUUGGGGGGUCCGGGACCACAUUGAGGAAUUCUGGGGGGUACGGGGAGGGGGAGGUGGGAAUUGGGGGGAUUUGGGGGGUUUGGGGGAAUUUGGGGGGUCUGGGACGGGAUUUUGGGGGUCUGGGAUGGAAUUUUGGGGGGCUGGGAUGGGAUUUGGGGUCUGGGAUGGGAUUUGGGGGGUCCGGGCAGGAUUUGGGGGGUCUGGGAUGGGAUUUGGUGGGUCCUGGAUGGGAUUUGGGGGGGUCUGGGAUGGAAUUUUGGGGGGAUUUGGGGGUCUGGGAUGGAAUUUUGGGGGUCUGCGAUGGGAUUUUGGGGGUCUGGGAUGUGAUUUUGGGGGGGGAUUUGGGGGUCCGGGCAGGAUUUUGGGGGCUCCGGGCAGGAUUUUGGGGGUCUGGGAUGGGAUUUUGGGGGGUCCGGGCAGGAUUUGGGGGUCUGGGAUGGGAUUUGGGGGGGGAUUUGGGGGUCUCAGUGCCCCCCACCCCAGAUGGACGGGGCCCAGCGCCGGUUGGAGCUGCUCGAGGAUCAACGGCAGAGGGCCGCGGCGGCUCUCGGGGGGUCUCUGGGGGUCCUGCCCCACCUGCGCCGGGAGUUGGAGCAGCUGCGGGCGGAGCGGCGGCGGCUGCAGCGAAUCCUGGGGGGGCGGCUGCGGGAGCUGGAGGAGACCCAACGGGAGAUCGAGGCGGAGCUGCAGAGAGCGGCGACGGCCCCGAGGGACGGGUGGGGACCCCAAAAACACCCGAACCCCAAAAAAACCCCCCAGAACACCUCAAAAAACUUCCGAAACACCCCUGAUACCCCAAAACCCCCCCCUGAACCCCAAAACCCCCCUGGAGCCCCCCAAACCCCCCUGAACCCCAAAAACUCCCCUGGAACAGCCCAAAACCCUCCCUGGACCCCAAAACCCCCCCUGGAACCCCAAAAAACCCCUGAAACCCCAAAGACCCCUGGAACCCCCAAAACCCCCCUGGAACCCCCAAACCCGACAGCCCCGGGACCCCCUG